GGUGAGUAACGCGUGGGCAACCUGCCUAUUAGUGGGGGAUAACAGUUGGAAACGACUGCUAAUACCGCAUAAGCUGUCUAAUCUGCAUGGAUUGGAUAGGGAAGAUGGCCUCUGAAUAUGCUAUCGCUAAUAGAUGGGCCCGCGUCUGAUUAGCUAGUUGGUGGGGUAACGGCCUACCAAGGCUGCGAUCAGUAGCCGGCCUGAGAGGGUGGACGGCCACACUGGGACUGAGACACGGCCCAGACUCCUACGGGAGGCAGCAGUGGGGAAUAUUGCGCAAUGGGGGAAACCCUGACGCAGCGACGCCGCGUGAGCGAUGAAGGCUUUAGGGUCGUAAAGCUCUGUUGUAAGGGAAGAAUGUCGAGAGUGAUAAUACCACUUUCGAAUGACGGUACCUUAC
rnacentral:rRNA from 1 species